GCUCCAGAUCCCCGGUGAGCCAGUCGCGUCUCCUCUCCUCGGGGACGUCCUCCAGCUCUCCAGCCCCUGUGAUCCUUUCUUCGUCUAACCACGCCCUGCUCCUUGCGCCCCGGGCUGAGCAAGGGUUCCCCUCAGAUGGAGGUGGUUCGUUAGGCUGCUACGUGGCUGCACCUGAGGCGUCCGCCAGGGCAGCAAUGGAGGCUCACGCUGGAGGAAACAAGAUCAAGAGAAUGAUUCCCAAACUGCUGUGCCCUGGAGGACAGGGGGAAAUGCCAUCAAAGGUUACUGCUAGAACAUUCCUUCAGAUAUAUACGAAGGGUAAACCAGAUGGACUCCAGGAAGUAUGCAACAGGCUGGAGCUUGUCCCAUGGCUGGAGCUGAGGUUCUCCUAACAAAUGCUUCCUGGAAGCACCAAGACUUCUGAAGAUUUAAAGAAACAGAGAACUGG